rnacentral:tRNA from 1 species
CGGGGUAUGGCGCAGUUUGGUAGCGCGCUUCGUUCGGGACGAAGAGGCCCUCGGUUCAAAUCCGAGUACCCCGACCA